rnacentral:rRNA from 1 species
AACGAACGCUGGCGGCAUGCCUAACACAUGCAAGUCGAACGAGACCUUCGGGUCUAGUGGCGCACGGGUGCGUAACGCGUGGGUACCUGCCCUUAGGUUCGGAAUAACUCCCCGAAAGGGGUGCUAAUACCGGAUAAUGUCUUCGGACCAAAGAUUUAUCGCCUUUGGAUGGGCCCGCGUUGGAUUAGCUAGUUGGUAGGGUAAAAGCCUACCAAGGCGACGAUCCAUAGCUGGUCUGAGAGGAUGAUCAGCCACACUGGGACUGAGACACGGCCCAGACUCCUACGGGAGGGAGCAGUGGGGAAUAUUGGACAAGGGGCGAAAGCCUGAUACAGCAAUGCCGCGUGAGUGAUGAAGGCCUUAGGGUUGUAAAGCUCUUUUACCCGGGAUGAUAAUGACAGUACCGGGAGAAUAAGCACCGGCUAACUCCGUG